rnacentral:misc_RNA from 1 species
AGUGCAAGGUUACACCACUACGCGGCGUUCCUGGUGUUCCUUUCUCUACGGCGUUGCGCGCGUGCGCGGCCGCCGUGUACUGCUGGCUGCGCCCUCAGUUGCAGACGAGUUGCAGCUCGUGAGCCGUCGUCCGUCGAGGGCUAUAAGAUGGCGACUACGACGUCGUCGUACACUCGCACGGGCGUGCUUGAAGUGUACGCCAAACAGCAAUGGCACAAAGUGCUGGCGACGCUCGAAGAGGACCAUCUCAGUUUGUGCCUGGACGAGAGCUACGAAGUACCGCCAAUCACUAAUAACGGCACGCUUUCGGAUAGCGAACCAAGCGACAUCCCGGAAAGCAUCGCCAACACCAAGCGGGUCGUCCGAGUAGUUAAGCAAGACAACAACGGUCUCGGCAUCAGCAUAAAGGGUGGCAAAGAGAACAAGAUGCCCAUCCUUAUAAGCAAGAUCUUCAAAGGCAUGGCAGCAGACACGACGGAACAGCUUUACGUGGGAGACGCCAUCCUGUCGGUCAACGGGGAAGAUCUGAGGGACGCAACACACGACGAAGCGGUCAGGGCCCUCAAGCGUGCCGGCAAGGUUGUUGACUUGGAAGUGAAGUACCUGCGGGAGGUGACGCCCUACUUCCGCAAGGCGUCCGUGCUGGCGGAGAUGGGCUGGGACUUUGCACCAGGCGGCCUGCUGUCCCGGGGAACCGCGGCGUCGCACCCACAGGGUCGGCCCGACUGCCGGCGCGUGCCGCUGCUGCUGUGUCAGCUGGCGCGCUCGCUCACCGUGCCAGAGCCGCGUGUGCUUGAACUGCACUCGCCCGACAGGCGCAGCGUGUGCCUGCUUCGAUGCGCCGACGCGGCCCAAUGCGCCGCCUGGUUCAAUGCGCUGCACGCGGCCCUGGCGCGCGUCAUGGCGCAGGCCGUGGUCGAGGCCGGACACCUGCUGCGCGAUGUGCUCGACCAGGCGCAGCUCCAGCACAUGGGAUGGCUCUCCGAGAAGACACGGGAAGAUUCAGUGACAGCCCAGUGGCGUGCGGUGUUCGUUGCAAUCACGGACAGGGACCUCCUGUUUUACGACCUGGUUCCCUGGACCAAGGAGGCCUGGGCUGUGCCUGUGCACAGUGUGCCUUUGCUCCACACUAGGCUUGUGACAACAAGUUCUGGCAGGACCUCCGUGGGACCAUCAGCUGGAGGUGAGGCGACCACACUGACACUUCGACUUGGCACGCGCCAGGGAGUCCAGUCACGGCUCAUGCGUGUUGAAACCCACCGAGACCUGGCAGUGUGGGCACGCCACCUGGUGCAUGGUGCCCAUCUAGCUGUGGCUGCCGCCAAGGAAGUGCGCUUUGCCUGUCUUUUCCAAGGCCAGGAAUGCACUCUUACGUUACACUAUGAAGAUGGCUUUCUUCUGCAAGAAAACCGCAGGCAACUGACCCUCUGGCAGUUUCCUUUCGAAAGACUACGAAAUUCUGGUGAUGAUGGCAUGCGUCUCGCUUGGCUUGACUUUGGUGGAGAAGAUGGAGAGAAGGAGCUGGACUUGAUGCAGUGCCCUAAACCAUUUGUGUUCACACUGCACACAUUCCUGUCUGCCAAAGUAACCCGGAUGGGCCUUGUGGCAUGACAACUACAGGACCACCACGUCGCAGCAGCUGCUUCACUGGUGCAGCAGCAAUGGCCCAUCCUGGGAUGCUGAGCCACACCUAGGAAGACAGCAGCUGUGCGCCUGUUGCCAGGACUGUGUAAAGAGACAAGCCAGAGCAGUGAGGCAGGCUAUGUAGCCCAACCACUGCUCUAGCUGCCAUUCGUGUCGAUGCAACCUUUCACGGCCGGCAGAUGCCCUGGCAGCAGAUGUGCCUGCACUAACAGCCGCAGGUGAAUUUUGUCACUGCAUCGUGGUGGUCUCACAGGCUUGUUGCCUGGGAACACACUGAAAAAAUACAACUGGAGCCUCAGGGGGCCAGCAUUUACACAGCAUCUAAAGUUUCUACCAAGCUGCCCUUAAGGGACACUGAAGAAAGGAGCUGCUGCCCGUUUAACAUGCACUCCAUCAGUUGUGACCCGGUGAUCGACGGGGUGCAACUUUUCAUCAGCAGCAUUCCUUCAAGGGACAAGAAAGGACAUCUGUCAUAUUGUAAUGCCUUGCAUCAGCGUGUAGGAAAUUAAUGCUAUGAAAAAUGUCUAUGUACCUAAGUUGCAAGCUUUUUGUUAGAUUCUCUGUGCUUAUUGGCAUGCAGCUGCAAAAAAAGAAAAAGCAAAAAACCUUGUCUUGUUGAAAGCGAGCCAAACAUUUAUGCUGCGUCACCUGAUAUGUCUCAACAGGUGGACUUGCACCAUACUGUUGCUGCAUUCCAAGUGCAGGUCUUCCAGUUGAUGCAUUUGUGGCAUGAGUGGCAAUGCCUUACCUUUAGUUCUUUAGCUGUAUCAUUGCAAGUCUUAUUCUGCACAUGGUUGUUACGUUUUGUUGAUUUAUAUAUUCAUGUCUUGCAUUUCUGUUGCUAGUUUAAAUGCAACACUGUUUCAUAAGUGCUUUGGAAAUGGCCUUGUUUCCUUUGUUACUUUUUAGGCACCUACAGCUGCAUUUGUUGAUGAUUUCUUUCUUAAGAGUAUGGAAACAAAAUUUGAACAGCUGAAGAUGGUAUUAUCAUGAACUUUUCACAUGAAGCAAUUUUACAAUCUGUUCUUACCUUAUUCUAGGACAAAAAACAAUGUGUGCUCUGUCACUUUAAGUUUGCUGGCAUCACAUGAAUUAUAUUGGGUAGUGAGGGAGGAUGAGGGGGAGUCUGCUUAGUAGCAAAGGCUCUGAAGUACAAGCUAUAUACGCUGCUAGUGAGAAGGUGUAACUUCUAUGCCCGACUAUUUAAAGCUACUUCAGGCCAGAGUGGUUAAGGAACAGGUAGGUGUAAUUUAACUUUUUUUUGCUGUGUGCAAGUGUAGAAGAUUAUUACAUUGUAGUCCCACAGCACGUUUAUACUUCUGUCGCAUGUUUUCUUUGUUUUGUGCAGUUACAGGUACAAUAAUGAUGCACUAGGCCAGAAAACAUUCAAAAUGUUUUUGUUGGUUUCAUAUACUUUAUUGGGAUUGAAUUAUAACCAUUGUUCUCAGUGCAAAGCAUGGCCCUUCAGUUCUGAGUUGCAAACUUUUAUGGACUUGAUACUUUUUAAUUAGCUUCCUUUCACUUUAUUUUGUUGUUAACUUUUCAUGUUUAGUUGCUAUUGCUUUACCUUAAGCUUUUUAUGAUUCAUGUGCUGUUGUGAUAGGCAUGAAUUGCAACAUUGAAGCAGUGGCCAGAGAGUACUCCACGGAACAUCGGUGGUGCCAGAAAACAGUGUAGCUGAGCGAAAUGUGGAGGUGUUACCAUUUCAAAGGUGUGCAUACCCCCUUGAGUGCCUUUAUUCUGUCUUCUUUCUUCAGAGGCACUGCAGCCAACAAUUUACAGGCUUGUCAAGAUACUGAAAUGUUAAAUGAGAGUGGUGGCUUGCUGUGACAAAGAAGCCACUUUGCUCAUGUGAAGUUGUACUCUGCAAAGAAGGGGCAUCUUAGUUUUUCUAUGAAGUAAGAAGCAGCAGAAAACAUUUAUAAUGUAAGGGCCAUCCAAACUUUGUUUUCAAUUUGCAUCUUGGCAUCAGCUUACCCCAGAGCUUGUUUCGGCUAUGGCUCAUGUGUUGCAACUUGUACUGAUUGUGAUGGCUCUUCUCUCUCUCUUUUUUCUGUUCUAUUUUAAUUUUUGUGCUCAAAGCAUUUACAGCUUUCCACAGCUAACUUUUACAUCACCUGAUCAAUACAGUCAAACCUCGAUAUAAUAAUAUUAGCACAGAUAUGAUUAAUUGUCCGAUAUGACGAAGCAAAUCUAAAGGUUGGUUGCUCACGCUCAGUGGGGUAUUCUUCUGCUAUAAUGAAGCUAAAAAUGUGGGAUCCAACAUGGUAUCAGUCGUAGCGAAGGAAAUUUUUAUUUGCGAAAGGCUUGAAAUGUGUAUUCUGGUAGCCAAAAUUUCAAAUUCAGUCACCAACUCAUUUUUCAGGCACCCAACUUUUCUGACCUGUGCAUUUACAUGAACAGUUCCCUGCGGCACCGCCACCUACCCCUAGGAACAUUUUAUAAUGCAAACUGAAAUUUUGGACGCCGUGGAGUGUGCUGCUCAAUUUUCCAAUCAGGGUCUUCACGCGUAAUGCUGCAAGCGUGGUACCCAUGAGCAAAGUUGCUGCCACAUAGACUGAACUCCAAAGACCAAACCGUAACUGUAGUUGCCAACUCCCAAUGAGGCGGUGGUAAUUAGGCCUAGUGGCCUAGGCAGUAUGGCUGUGACAAAAUUUUAUGGGUGGUUGGCGGAAUGGCUGACAAGCCACCAUCGGAAGUUCGCCGUCAUCAAGCGUGAGAUCACACGUAAAGGCUAAUCUGCCAGCAGUGAAGCUAAGGCCUGUGUGCGGCCCUCUUUAUGUCUGAAAAAUUGGUUGGUCAAUUACUCAGCAAGUGCAGCUUAAAAUGGCACAUUUGGGACAUGCAUGCAUGUUUCGGCUAGCGACUUGGCUUGGUUGAACCACAACCAGCAAGCCAACAAUAUCAUGUGAUCACAUACCGAUUGCACGAUUGUGUAUUAGCAACCACGCAAAGUGCAUUUAUGUAAUCUAUUAUUGUUUUCGUACCGCUAGCUACUGGUGCAGCAUCAAAAUCUGAAGGAGACUUUCUCUCGAGAGAGGUAUCAUGCUUGUUGGUCAUAUAAACCUGAUUGUGAUUCUUUCACCGAUAUCGGCACGUAUGCUUAUAACAAAUAUUCCAUAUAAUGAAGGUAAUUUCGUGUCAGAUGCAACUUUAUUAAAACUAGGUGCGACUGUAUUCUCUUUCUGUUGUGUAGACAACUGAGCUCAGCUGUGCACCUUUAAUUCAAUUAGCUGCUUGUUUAGAACUUUAGGGCAGCUGUUAUACAUACUGUAGUUUUCUCUUUUUUUUUUCUUUUUUUUUUUCAGGACGUUUUGUCUAAGUUAAUGUGAGGCCUUUGUCAAGGAUACAUUGCGCAGUGCUAUAGGUUGCUUGUUUGAUGACUACAUGAUUUCGACAUGCCUGGUGAGGCAGGGAAUCACAUAAAAAAGUGCCACCAGGAACUGUGCAUCAAAGUUUUGACUUAUGCUAUGAAUGUUUAU